rnacentral:rRNA from 1 species
CGCGUAGGCGGUUUGAUAAGUCGGAUGUGAAAGCCCCGGGCUUAACCUGGGAAUUGCAUCCGAUACUGUCUGACUGGAGUGUGGUAGAGGGAAGCGGAAUUCCGGGUGUAGCGGUGAAAUGCGUAGAGAUCCGGAGGAACAUCAGUGGCGAAGGCGGCUUCCUGGACCAACACUGACGCUGAGGUGCGAAAGCGUGGGGAGCAAACA